rnacentral:tRNA from 1 species
UUCCUGGUGGCUCAGAUGGUAAAGCGUCUGUCUACAAUGCAGGAGACCUGGGUUCAAUCCCUGGGUUGGGAA